rnacentral:rRNA from 1 species
UACAGAGGUCUCAAGCGUUGUUCGGAUUCAUUGGGCGUAAAGGGUGCGUAGGUGGCGAGGUAAGUUGGAUGUGAAAUCCUGGGGCUCAACCCCAGAACUGCAUUCAAUACUGCCUUGCUAGAGUACUGGAGAGGAGAUUGGAAUUUACGGUGUAGCAGUGAAAUGCGUAGAUAUCGUAAGGAAGACCAGUGGCGAAAGGCGG